rnacentral:rRNA from 1 species
GACGUAGGGGGCGAGCGUUGUCCGGAUUUAUUGGGCGUAAAGCGCGCGCAGGCGGUCCUUUAAGUCUGAUGUGAAAGCCCACGGCUCAACCGUGGAGGGUCAUUGGAAACUGGGGGACUUGAGUACAGAAGAGGAAAGCGGAAUUCCACGUGUAGCGGUGAAAUGCGUAGAGAUGUGGAGGAACACCAGUGGCGAAGGCGGCUUUCUGGUCUGUAACUGACGCUGAGGCGCGAAAGCGUGGGGAGCAAACAGG